UAAGUACUCCCUCCGUCCGAAAAUACUUGUCAUGAAAAUGGAUAAAAAAAGAUGUAUCUAGAAUUAAAAUACGUCUAGAUACAUCCCCUUUUAUUCAUUUUGAUGACAAGUAUUUUCGAACGGAGGGAGUACAAU
rnacentral:pre_miRNA from 1 species